rnacentral:tRNA from 1 species
AGGGGUGUAGCUCAGCAGUAGAGCACUUGCCUAGCAUGUGCAAGAUCCUGGGUUCAAUCCCCAGUACCUCCA